UGUGGCAUGGUUAUGUAAAAAUAAAAAACAAAUAAAUGUAAACAGAAGCUUUAUCAUCAUCUUUAAAUCAAAAUAAACUCUGCUGUGUAAUAAGGCUGUCAAAUAGGCUUGAAUAAAACAAUAACAAUAUCUUUAUUCAAGUUCAAGAGUUCAAAACACAUAUACAGGGCAACAAUAUGUAACAGUCCUUUUAAAUAUGCCUCAUCUCUUCUUUAAAUAGUCAAACUUUGGAAAGCACGACAGCCAUUUCAUUCCUGACAAAAAAAAUCCUGUUGUCUUCCUUUCUCCACUCUCCAGAAAAGCAAAAUAUGAACUGUAAUAUCAGUUAGAAAAAACCGUUGGUCUGCUUCUGCCAAGCCAGAGGCAGCAACCAAUCAGAAUGCUGGCUGGGCCAAGCAGCUGUCGUCAUAGCAACCCUUUCCAGUGAACUCAUUGCAAUAUGGAGUCUUUAUUUCAUAUUCCCUCACAUGGAGGAACUCAUACUCUCUCAGCCCUAGGAAGGCACAGAGCUCUCUUAUGCCUACCUUCUUCAAAGCAGCUGUGGGUCAUUCCUUACUGUGCAAUAUGGCUGCUAGCUUGAGUUGCUGUUCUGAGACUUAAAGCCCUGUUAACUUCUAUUAGUGUUUCCUGUCAUCCACCUGACUCAAGAAGAUGCCUAAACAUCUAUCAAAGCAACUGAACAUUUUUGACUUCAUGACAAAAAAAGAAAAAGCCAACUAUUGAAGUCCAAGAAGACAGCAGGUUGAGAACCACUGCAGCAGCUGGUACUGAUGAAGCCCCCAGAAUAUGCACACCUAAACUACAGGUGAAAAAUGAGGAAACUGUGGUGAAAACAUAUAUAAGAAGCACAAUGGGGCAAGAAAUACUGACUGUACUUGCACUCUUGAGUGUCCACCGAAGUUUAUUGAUUGAGCCCGAUUUCUGUCAAAGUGUAUUGACACAAUUUUCAAGUGUUUCCAGCAGAUGUUGUAGUAUUCUUUUGUAACUAUAAAUUACCAAUUAAGAGUCAUUUUCAGUUUUUUAAGACUUGAAGCUUUGUAACUAAAAUAGAAAAGUGAUUUAAUUGAGUCUAUACAAAAUAUAGAAUGAAACAUAUAA